UUUCUCUGCCUUUUACUUCAACUCUCCAAGGAGACUGAGUCUCCUUGGAGAGUUGAAGUAAAAGGCAGAGAA
rnacentral:miRNA from 1 species